GAUGAACGCUGGCGGCGUGCCUAAUACAUGCAAGUCGAGCGGAAAGGCCCUUCGGGGUACUCGAGCGGCGGACGGCUGAGUAACCCGUAGGAACGUACCCCAAAGUGAGGGAUAACUGCUCGAAAGAGUAGCUAAUACCGCAUGUGCUCUUCGGAGUAAAGUUUCGGCGCUUUGGGAACGGCCUGCGUCCUAUUAGCUAGUUGGUGAGGUAAUUGCUCACCAAGGCGACGAUAGGUAGCUGGUCUGAGAGGAUGAUCAGCCAGACUGGGACUGAGACACGGCCCAGACUCCUACGGGAGGCAGCAGUAGGGAAUUUUCCACAAUGGGCGAAAGCCUGAUGGAGCAACGCCGCGUGCAGGAUGAAUGCCUUCGGGUUGUAAACUGCUUUUGUAGGUGAAGAAUAUGACGGUAACCUAUGAAUAAGGAUCGGCUAACUCCGUGCCAGCAGCCGCCGUAA
rnacentral:rRNA from 1 species